AUGAGCUCUUCUUCAGCUUUAGUGACUGUGAUACUCUUAAUGCUUGGAAAAAUCCAUGGAGACUCAGUGACCCAGACAGAAGGCCAAGUGACCCUUUCACAAGGGGCAUUCUUGACUAUAAACUGCACUUAUACAGCCACAGGGUACCCUUCUCUUUUAUGGUAUGUCCAAUAUCCUGGAGAAGGUCCACAGCUCCUUCUGAAAGCCAUGGCGGCCAAUGAAAAGGGAAGCAACAAAGGUUUUGAAGCCACAUACCAUCGAGAAACAACCUCCUUCCACUUGAAGAAAGCCACAGUCCAAAUGUCAGACUCGGCUAUGUACUACUGUGCUCUGAGUGACACAGUGACAGGAACUGCAGGGGGAGCUGAGCACAAACUCUGA